AGCGAACGCUAGCGGCAGGCUUAACACAUGCAAGUCGAGCGCCAGGUUUCGGCCUGGAGCGGCGAACGGGUGAGUAACACGUAGGUCACGUACCCUAUGGUGGGGAAUACCCCGGGGAAACUCGGAUCAAUGCCCCAUAUGUCCGAAAGGAUGAAAGCGCUUCGGCGCGCCAGAGGAUCGGCCUGCGGCCCAUUAUUUAAUCCUAGUUGGUGAGGUAACGGCUCACCAAGGGUACGAUGGGUAGCUGGUCUGAGAGGACGAUCAGCCACACUGGAACUGAGACACGGUCCAGACUCCUACGGGAGGCAGCAGUGGGGAAUAUUGGACAAUGGGCGAAAGCCUGAUCCAGCCAUGCCGCGUGAGUGAUGAAGGCCUUCGGGUUGUAAAGCUCUGUCGUGGGGGAAGAAGUUCUGACGGUAUCCCACAAGAAAGCACCGGCUAACUCCGUGCCAGCCGCCGCGGUAACAC
rnacentral:rRNA from 1 species